UUCAUUAUUUUUUCCACCAUGGGUGAUUCUAGCGUCAAAACAACAUCCAAAUCUUCAAGUCUUGAAACACCAACUGCUUCAAAUCAUCAACCAGAUUUUUCAUCACCCUAUUUGUUAUAUAUGGGGCUUGAAUUUUAGAUAUAUAUAGACCCGAUUUGUUGAACCAGAUUUUAGAGACCAUAUGGAGUCGUGCUAUCACUGUGGCCUUUGAAGCUAAAAAUAAAUUAGGAUUUGUUGAUGGAAGAAUCAAAGGAUCCCAACUAAUAUAAGAAAUCCAAUUAAUAUAGAAAACCCAACUAAUAUGGGAAAUCAAGAUUCUGGGCUCUAAUAACUCUAGUCAUAAUAAGCCAUAAUA
rnacentral:misc_RNA from 1 species